GCUGGCGGCGUGCUUAACACAUGCAAGUCGAGUGCGCAGCUUUCUGUAGCAAUACAGGAAGUCGGCGCACGGCGCACGGGUGCGUAACACGUGGGCAAUCUGCCCUCGGAUGGGGGAUACCCCCGCGAAAGCGGGACUAAUACCGCAUGACAUUCCGAAGACCUCGGUCUUUGGACUCAAAGCCCGCAAGGGCGUCUGAGGAGGAGCCCGCGCCCGAUUAGCUAGUUGGUGAGGUAACGGCUCACCAAGGCUUUGAUCGGUAGCCGGUCUGAGAGGAUGGCCGGCCACACUGGAACUGAGACACGGUCCAGACUCCUACGGGAGGCAGCAGUGGGGAAUAUUGCGCAAUGGGCGAAAGCCUGACGCAGCGACGCCGCGUGGGGGAUGAAGCUUCUCGGAGUGUAAACCCCUUUCGACCCGGACGAAUGACCCGCAAGGGUUUGACGGUACGGGUAUAAGAAGCCCCGGCUAACUACGUGCCAGCAGCCGCGGUAAUACGUAGGGGGCCAGCGUUGCUCGGAAUUACUGGGCGUAAAGGGUUCGUAGGCGGUGCGGCAAGUUGGGAGUGAAAUCUCUGGGCUUAACCCAGAGGCUGCUUUCAAAACUGCCGUGCUC
rnacentral:rRNA from 1 species